UACGGGGGGGGCAAGCGUUGUUCGGAAUUAUUGGGCGUAAAGCGCACGUAGGCGGCCGAUUAAGUCGGGUGUGAAAGCCCAGGGCUCAACCCUGGAAGUGCACUCGAAACUGGACGGCUUGAAUAUGGAAGAGGGUUGCGGAAUUCCCGGUGUAGAGGUGAAAUUCGUAGAUAUCGGGAGGAACACCAGUGGCGAAGGCGGCAACCUGGGCCAAUAUUGACGCUGAGGUGCGAAAGCGUGGGGAGCAAACAGG
rnacentral:rRNA from 1 species